rnacentral:rRNA from 1 species
AAGUCUCAGUUCAGAUUGUAGGCUGAAACUCGCCUAUAUGAAGUCGGAAUUGCUAGUAAUCGCAGAUCAGCAUGCUGCGGUGAAUACGUUCCCGGGCCUUGUACACACCGCCCGUCACACCAUGAGAGUCGAUAACACCCGAAGCCUGUAGUCUAACCAUAAGGAGGACGCAGUCGAAGGUGGGAUUGAUAACUAGGGUGAAGUCGUAACAAGGUAGC